CCUACGGGUGGCAGCAGUGGGGAAUAUUGCACAAUGGGGGAAACCCUGAUGCAGCGACGCCGCGUGAGUGAAGAAGUAUUUCGGUAUGUAAAGCUCUAUCAGCAGGGAAGAAAAUGACGGUACCUGAUUAAGAAGCUCCGGCUCACUACGUGCCAGCAGCCGCGGUAAUACGUAGGGGGCGAGCGUUAUCCGGAUUUACUGGGUGUAAAGGGAGCGUAGACGGCAGCACAAGUCAGGAGUGAAAUGCCGGGGCUUAACCCCGGAACUGCUUUGGAAACUGUGAAGCUAGAGUGCAGGAGAGGUAGGUGGAAUUCGUAGUGUAGCGGUGAAAUGCGUAGAUAUUAGGAGGAACACC
rnacentral:rRNA from 1 species